rnacentral:sRNA from 1 species
AUUCUGCCCAUGCGGGGAAGGAUGAGAAGCUUCGACUAAGGUUCGGCUUGAGCGGCAGCGAGAGAGCGUUGCCGCAGGCAACGACCCGAAGGGCGAAGCGCGCAGCGCUGAGUAAUCCUUCCCCCACCACCA